rnacentral:rRNA from 1 species
UGGGGAAUCUUGCGCAAUGGGCGAAAGCCUGACGCAGCAACGCCGCGUGUGUGAUGAAGGUCUUCGGAUCGUAAAGCACUGUCGGGAGGGACGAAUAAGGCGGCAGCUAAUAUCUGCAGCCGAUGACGGUACCUCCAAAGGAAGCACCGGCUAACUCUGUGCCAGCAGCCGCGGUAAUACAGAGGGUGCUAGCGUUGUUCGGAAUUAUUGGGCGUAAAGCGCGUGUAGGCGGCCUAGCAAGUUGGGUGUGAAAGCCCUCGGCUUAACCGAGGAAGUGCGCCCAAAACUACAAGACUUGAGUACCGGAGAGGGUGGCGGAAUUCCCGGUGUAGAGGUGAAAUUCGUAGAUAUCGGGAGGAACACCAGUGGCGAAGGCGGCCACCUGGACGGAUACUGACGCUGAGACGCGAAAGCGUGGGUAGCAAACAGGAUUAGAUACCCCCGUAGUCC